AGAACGAACGCUGGCGGCGUGGAUCAGACAUGCAAGUCGAACGGGGUUAGUUUGGUAGCAAUACUGGGCUAAUCUAGUGGCGAACGGGUGCGUAACACGUGACCAACCUGCCUGAAAGUGGGGGAUAGCUCGCCGAAAGGCGAAUUAAUACCGCAUGUGAUCGCGAGAUCAAAGCAGCAAUGCGCUUUUAGAGGGGGUCGCGGCCUAUCAGCUAGUUGGUGAGGUAACGGCUUACCAAGGCAGCGACGGGUAGCUGGUCUGAGAGGACGACCAGCCACACUGGAACUGAGACACGGUCCAGACACCUACGGGUGGCAGCAGUCGAGAAUUUUCUCAAUGGGGGAAACCCUGAAGGAGCGACGCCGCGUGGAGGAUGAAGGCUUUCGGGUGUAAACUCCUGUCAUCUGGGAACAAACCUGCAAAGGCUUGAUAGUACCAGAAGAGGAAGAGACGGCUAACUCUAGCGCCAGCAGCCGCGGU
rnacentral:rRNA from 1 species